AUUGAACGCUGGCGGUAGGCCUAACACAUGCAAGUCGAACGCGAAAGUCCUUCGGGAUGAGUAGAGUGGCGGACGGGUGAGUAACGCGUAGGAAUCUAUCCUGUAGUGGGGGAUAACGUUUCGAAAGGAACGCUAAUACCGCAUACGCCCCACGGGGGAAAGCGGGGGAUCUUCGGACCUCGUGCUAUAGGAGGAGCCUGCGUCGGAUUAGCUAGUUGGUGAGGUAAAGGCUCACCAAGGCGACGAUCCGUAGCUGGUCUGAGAGGAUGAUCAGCCAUACCGGAACUGAGACACGGUCCGGACUCCUACGGGAGGCAGCAGUGGGGAAUAUUGCGCAAUGGGCGAAAGCCUGACGCAGCCAUACCGCGUGUGUGAAGAAGGCCUUCGGGUUGUAAAGCACUUUCAGUGGGGAGGAAAAGCUGGUGGCUAAUAUCCAUCGGCCGUGACGCUACCCACAGAAGAAGCACCGGCUAAUUCCGUGCCAGCCGCCGCCGUAACAC
rnacentral:rRNA from 1 species